CCUACGGGAGGCAGCAGUGGGGAAUAUUGGACAAUGGGGGGAACCCUGAUCCAGCCAUGCCGCGUGUGUGAAGAAGGCCCUCGGGUUGUAAAGCACUUUCAGUGAGGAAGAACGCCUGGUGGUUAAUACCCAUCAGGAAAGACAUCACUCACAGAAGAAGCACCGGCUAACUCCGUGCCAGCAGCCGCGGUAAUACGGAGGGUGCGAGCGUUAAUCGGAAUUACUGGGCGUAAAGCGCGCGUAGGUGGCUUGAUAAGCCGGUUGUGAAAGCCCCGGGCUCAACCUGGGAACGGCAUCCGGAACUGUCAAGCUAGAGUGCAGGAGAGGAAGGUAGAAUUCCCGGUGUAGCGGUGAAAAGCGUAGAGAUCGGGAGCAAUACCAGUGGCGAAGGCGGCCUUCUGGACUGACACUGACACUGAGGUGCGAAAGCGUGGGUAGCAAACAGGAUUAGAUACCCCGGUAGUC
rnacentral:rRNA from 1 species